CGUGCGGGGCCGUGGGCGGAGCCCGGGCCGCUGACGUGCGGGCGCUAACGUGACAGCGCUUCCGGUUCGGGUGCCGGCGGUGCCGCCGCUCCCUCGGCGGGCGGAGUGUGGGGCUCGGGCACCCGGCGGCAUCGGGGCGGGCGCUGGGGCCGCGCGGCGCUGCCGCUGCUGCUCCGGGCUGCUGCCGGGGCUCCCGUGCCGCCGGCCGUGCGCGGGAGGGCGGUGCGGGGAUUUCCCCGCGCUGAGGGGAACCGGCCCCGGCGCCUCCCGAACCCGCCGCUCCGGCGCUGCCAGGGAGUUUGUGAUCAAUUAAAAAGAUGCCUUGUAUUCUCGGAGUGUUCCAUUCUGCCUCUGCUGUUUUUCCUGCUAGUCUGGAUCCUCUGCUUAGAUUUUUUUUUUCUUCCUAUUUUAGAUGCCCUGGCUGUGGUGGAUGUCCCGGUUGAGGGCAGUGAUGGCUUUCAUGAAGAAAUCUUUAAAUGAAGACGGGAUUACCCAAACCUUUCCCUUCCCUGCUGCACUAGAAGCCAGGAAUAUCCUGUUGCUUCAGUCUGAAAACGGAACAGACAACAGCCCGUGAUGGGGACCCCUGCAGCUGACAAUUAUCAACACUCACCGGCUGGACCACCACCCAAAAUAAAAGGGAGAAGGAGAAGGAUAAAACCACAAGCCAAAAAACAGGCACGCUCUAAAAAGGCGGAGCCAAGGAGCGGCCGUGCUAAACAGUUCCCAGAAACUGCUGACUGUACAUGAAGGUCUAGGAGUAUGUAACAAAUGGAUGGAUUGUGAAACGUAUUUACAGGGGUGUUCCCGCAGCAGGUGUGCUCAUGGCAGCAUGCCAAGCACCCAGCUGUUCUAACCCUUGGCUCCAUGCAUGUCUCCUAUUGCCUUUUUUAUUAAACCUUGUACUUCUCCCAGAA